UUGCUGUGAUGAUUACUAAAUUAUUGAAAGUCUUUGUAAAUUCUUGAUGAAACGUCGACUAUCAUGUCGAUCUGAGCGUUACCUGAGCAA